rnacentral:rRNA from 1 species
UUCCGGUUGAUCCCGCCGGAGGCCAUUGCUAUUGGGAUCCGAUUUAGCCAUGCUAGUUGUACGAGUUCAGACUCGUAGCGAAUAGCUCAGUAACACGUGGCCAAACUACCCUUCGGACCACAAUACCCUCGGGAAACUGAGGCUAAUAGUGGAUCAUACACUCACACUGGAAUGUCGAGUGUGUCAAACGCUUCCGCGCCGAAGGAUGUGGCUGCGGCCGAUUAGGUAGACGGUGGGGUAACGGCCCACCGUGCCAAUAAUCGGUACGGGUCAUGAGAGUGAGAACCCGGAGACGGAAUCUGAGACAAGAUUCCGGGCCCUACGGGGCGCAGCAGGCGCGAAACCUUUACACUGCACGCCAGUGCGAUAAGGGGAUCCCAAGUGCGCAGGCAUAGAGCCUGCGCUUUUGUCCACCCUAGGGAGGUGGACGAAUAAGGGCUGGGCAAGACCGGUGCCAGCCGCCGCGGUAAUACCGGCAGCCCGAGUGAUGGCCGAUCUUAUUGGGCCUAAAGCGUCCGUAGCUGGCCGCGCAAGUCCAUCGGGAAAUCCACCCGCCCAACGGGUGGCCGUCCGGUGGAAACUGUACGGCUUGGGACCGGAAGGCGCGACGGGUACGUCCGGGGUAGGAGUGAAAUCCUGUAAUCCUGGACGGACCGCCGAUGGCGAAAGCACGUCGCGAGAACGGAUCCGACAGUGAGGGACGAAAGCCAGGGUCUCGAACCGGAUUAGAUACCCGGGUAGUCCUGGCCGUAAACACUGCCUGCUAGGUGUGGCUCCCACUACGAGUGGGUGCUGUGCCGUAGGGAAGCCGCUAAGCAGGCCGCCUGGGAAGUACGUCCGCAAGGAUGAAACUUAAAGGAAUUGGCGGGGGAGCACUACAACCGGAGGAGCCUGCGGUUUAAUUGGAGUCAACGCCG